rnacentral:rRNA from 1 species
UACGAAGGGGGCUAGCGUUGCUCGGAAUCAUUGGGCGUAAAGCGCACGUAGGCGGCUCCGCAAGUCGGAUGUGAAAUCCCUCGGCUCAACCGAGGACGUGCAUCCGAAACUGCGGAGCUUGAGUACUGAAGAGGAUCGCGGAAUUCCCGGUGUAGAGGUGAAAUUCGUAGAUAUCGGGAGGAACACCAGUGGCGAAGGCGGCGAUCUGGGCAGUUACUGACGCUGAGGUGCGAAAGCGUGGGAGCAAACAGG